GCCGCCUUAGCUCAGUCGGCCAGAGCAACGCACUCGUAAUGCGUAGGUCGUCGGUUCGAUUCCGACAGGCGGCUCC
rnacentral:tRNA from 1 species